rnacentral:misc_RNA from 2 species
AACGCACAUUGCGCCCUUCGGUAUUCCGUUGGGCAUGCCUGUUCGAGCGUCAUUUGACCCUUCAAGCUCUGCUUGGUGUUGGGCGUUUGUUCCGCCUCCGCGCGUGGACUCGCCUCAAAUUCAUUGGCAGCCGGCAAGUUGGCUUCGUGCGCAGCACAUUGCGUCACGGCUCCAGUCUGCCUCCGUCCAGUAAGGCUCCUCAUCACUUUGACCUCGGAUCAGGUAGGGAUACCCGCUGAACUUAA